rnacentral:lncRNA from 1 species
AUCCGAAGUUGCUGCACUUUCCCUUAAGGUUUUCCUUUAGCAUGCUCAUUCCUCUUAAAUGGCUCCUUUUCUGAAAAAUGCUUAUUAAUUAAUCACUCAGGCUGUUUCAUCUGUUUGCUGGAGGGAGUCUGACUGCUAUACCCUCUCAUCCAUCAGGUCUUAUCUUAAAUAUAACUUGCUCGCUGAGUCCUUUUCCAAGCAGUCUGUUGGCACCAUUUUUUUUUUUCUAUUGUAGUGUUUCACUAAUUUUUGUCACAACACUCAUUCAAGAUGAAUCCAAGCCUGUUCUUGGACCAGCCAAAAUUAUGGGCACCAAAUAACUACAGGAUUACUAAAAUCACUGUUACUGUCCCAGAUGCUCCUUCAGAGCCGCAAGAAUAGGCAUUAAUUCUGCUGAAAUUUAAGCCAGUAUGCAUGUCUGAUACCAGGAAAAAUCAUGUUGAACAUACUGGGAAUUAGAUGUGUGUGGAAAUCCAAUAACUUCCUAUUUUUGCACAAGUCUUCUUAUAAACUUUAAAAAACAAGUUUACAUCUAUUGAAUCAUUUGAGCAUAAAGACCUAAUGAGAGGAGAAAAUGGAAUCCUGGGACAGUUAAGACACUUGCCCAAAGUGGCACAGCUGGUACAGGGUGUGGCUGGGGUUCUAACCCAGGAAGUCUGGCUCCAACACUUAGCCCUUCAGCACUUCAAUAACAAAGCAGUUCAGAUGGAGAAGACUUGAAGUGACAUCCUUGGUCAGAGAUUGAAAUUCUGAAGUCCUGCAUUUAAAUCCCCAGAGAUGCUUAUCCUACUGGACAAGGAAAUAAAAGACAACCCAUUGCCAUCCUCUCAAACAGCAAAAGAUGGAAUCCCCCUGCUUGCACUUCAAGGAGACCUUCUCUGUUCUUUUUGUAUUUGCUUAUAUAUGGUGACUUAACAUGCAAA